AGAGUUUGAUUAUGGCUCAGGACGAACGCUGGCGGCGUGCUUAACACAUGCAAGUCGAACGGAGUUAUAUUGAGGAAGUUUCGGAUGGAAUGAUACAACUUAGUGGCGAACGGGUGAGUAACGCGUGAGGAACCUGGCUCAUACAGGGGGAUAACAUAGGGAAACUUAUGCUAAUACCGCAUAAGACCACAUUACCGCAUGGUAGAGGGGGUCAAAGGAGGAAUCCGGUAUGAGAUGGACUCGCGUCCUAUUAGAUAGUUGGUGGGUAACGGCCUACCAAGUCGACGAUAGGUAGCCGAGCUGAGAGGCUGAUUGGCCACACUGGGACUGAGACACGGCCCAGACUCCUACGGGAGGCAGCAGUGGGGAAUAUUGGGGCAAUGGGGGAAACCCUGACCCAGCAACGCCGCGUGAGUGAAGAAGGUUUUCGGAUUGUAAAACUCUGUCCUUGGGGACGAAGAAUGACGGUACCCAAGGAGGAAGCCCCGGCUAACUACGUGCCAGCCGCAGC
rnacentral:rRNA from 1 species